ACAGGAAAUCUCAUCUGCCGUGCAAAGUUUUUUCCAAAGUGGACGCUGCUACCUAUAUUAUACUUGCAAUGUAGUUGUAUGUCUGCAUCUGAGAAAAGAGAGAAGAGCCAGCAUGAGACCCUCAUCAUUUGUGGAUCCCCUAUGACCUGCAGGGCCUGGACCUACAACUCAUUCUGGGUUGUGGGGAACCCCCAACUCCUGAUGGAACAAUGUCAGAGAAACUUUACAAGUGUUGGCUGGUUAUGAAAAUCAUCCUACCCCGGAACAAAAACACCAC